UACGAAGGAGGCUAGCGUUGCUCGGAAUCACUGGGCGUAAAGCGCACGUAGGCGGCUUGUUAAGUCAGGGGUGAAAUCCUGGAGCUCAACUCCAGAACUGCCUUUGAUACUGGCGAGCUUGAGUCCGGGAGAGGUGAGUGGAACUGCGAGUGUAGAGGUGAAAUUCGUAGAUAUUCGCAAGAACACCAGUGGCGAAGGCGGCUCACUGGCCCGGUACUGACGCUGAGGCGCGAAAGCGUGGGGAGCAAACAGG
rnacentral:rRNA from 1 species